UACAGAGGUGGCAAGCGUUGUUCGGAAUUACUGGGCGUAAAGGGCGUGUAGGCGGUCUUCUAAAGUCAGACGUGAAAUCCCCCCGGCUUAACCUGGGAACUGCGUCUGAUACUGGGGAGGCUUGAGUAUGGGGAGAGGGAUGUAGAAUUCCAGGUGUAGCGGUGAAAUGCGUAGAUAUCUGGAGGAAUACCGGUGGCGAAGGCGGCAUCCUGGACCAUUACUGACGCUGAGGCGCGAAAGCUAGGGGAGCAAACGGGG
rnacentral:rRNA from 1 species